GACGAACGCUGGCGGCGUGCCUAACACAUGCAAGUCGAACGGAGAUACGAUUUCGGUUGUAUCUUAGUGGCGAACGGGUGAGUAACGCGUGAGCAACCUGACCUUUAGAGGGGGAUAACACUUGGAAACAGGUGCUAAUACCGCAUAAGACCACGACCCGACAUCGGGAUGAGGUCAAAGGAGUAAUCCGCUAGAGGAGGGGCUCGCGUCCCAUUAGAUAGAUGGCGGGGUAACGGCCCACCAUGUCGACGAUGGGUAGCCGAGCUGAGAGGCUGAUCGGCCACACUGGAACUGAGACACGGUCCAGACUCCUACGGGAGGCAGCAGUGGGGAAUAUUGGGCAAUGGGCGCAAGCCUGACCCAGCAACGCCGCGUGAGGGAAGAAG
rnacentral:rRNA from 1 species